rnacentral:rRNA from 1 species
AUGGUAGAAGGAUCGAAUGCAGACAUCCAAAAUCUCAAGUUCUUGUUGCUAUCCUUCCAGGAGAUGUCCGGCCUAACGAUCAACUUCAACAAGAGUGAGGUGAUAGUCUUGGGGUAUCCCGAGGAGGAGAAGCGGCGAAUUUCCAACUGGCUUAACUGUCGGUUAGGUUCCUUCCCGAUGACUUACCUGGGUAUGACCAUUAGUGAAACCCAUAUAUUAGGAAAAGACCUUCGACCGACGGUGUCCAAGGUCCAAUAUUGGGUGGAGCCAUGGCAAGGGAGAUGGCUCUCCAAGGCAGCUCGGGUCAUCCUCAUCAACUCUUCGAUGAUCAGCUUGCUUAUGUACCUCAUGGGAUUCUAUAGUUUGAACGAAUCCCUUCAUCAAGAUAUAGGAAAGUACCAGUCCAGAUUCUUCUGGGCCGGAAAAGAUAAUAAGCAGAAGUACCACAUGGUGAAAUGGGCGGAGAUCUGCAAAUCUAAGGACCAAGGAGGCCUGGGCAUCAUCUCAUCCAAACGGAUGAACAUUGCUCUCUUGUCCAAGUGGCUAUGGGGAUCGCCUCGGGGGAGGGUGGGCUCUGGUUGGAUAUCAUCAACGCAAAAUACUUGCGUGGCUAGGGCUUAG